UGCCACAGCCAUAUCACCCUGCAGCCCAAGACUGCCCACUGAAGCUAAGCAGGGUUGAGCCUGGUCAGUACCUGGAUGGGAGACCUCCUGGGAAAACUAGGUUGCUGCUGGAA
ensembl:rRNA 5S_rRNA 5S ribosomal RNA